rnacentral:rRNA from 1 species
GCAAGUCGAACGUGAAAGCAGGCUUCGGCCUGUCGGUAGCGUGGCAGACGGGUGAGUAACACGUGGGUAACCUACCCAGAGGUGGGGGAUAACCCUUCGAAAGGAGGGCUAAUACCGCAUAACAUCCCGAGGUCUUCGGGCUUCGGGAUCAAAGCUAGCCUCUACUUGUAAGCUAGCGCCACUGGAGGGGCCCGCGCCCCAUUAGCUUGUUGGUGAGGUAAAGGCUCACCAAGGCCACGAUGGGUAGCCGGCCUGAGAGGGCGAUC